AGUCUUAUAGUCAAUUAUGAUUUUAAAUUGCAAAUUUAAAGGUAAAUAUUUUUUAAGGCUU
rnacentral:tRNA from 1 species